AACGAACGCUGGCGGCAUGCCUAACACAUGCAACUCGAACGAGACCUUCGGGUCUAGUGGCGCACGGGUGCGUAACGCGUGGGAACCUGCCCUUAGGUUCGGAAUAACUCCCCGAAAGGGGUGCUAAUACCGGAUAAUGUCUUCGGACCAAAGAUUUAUCGCCUUUGGAUGGGCCCGCGUUGGAUCAGCUAGUUGGUAGGGUAAAAGCCUACCAAGGCGACGAUCCAUAGCUGGUCUGAGAGGAUGAUCAGCCACACUGGGACUGAGACACGGCCCAGACUCCUACGGGAGGCAGCAGUGGGGAAUAUUGGACAAUGGGCGAAAGCCUGAUCCAGCAAUGCCGCGUGAGUGAUGAAGGCCUUAGGGUUGUAAAGCUCUUUUACCCGGGAUGAUAAUGACAGUACCGGGAGAAUAAGCUCCGGCUAACUCCGUG
rnacentral:rRNA from 1 species